GCAGCUGUUAAAGGGCGGAGCUUGAAAAAGUUUCAACAGUGCGCUGCCCGAAGCCCCGCCAUUCCUGACACGUGGUUUUGGUAACUCCCCCUCUAGUGCCCUAGUGAGCACUGCGUGCCUCAAGACGAGACAAUUCAACACAGCAGAAAUUGAACUCAGAAACCACUCAUCCAUUACUCUGACUCCGAUCAUUCCAAAACAUUACAUCAUUGCACAGAGAGGGAACAUCGCUACUAUGGCCAGAGCGGCUGCCAAGGCGUCUGCUCAGGACUGUACACUGACUUCUUUGUGAUGUCCACAAUGAGUAUCCAAGGCGACCCCAGAGAGGACGGCCCAUAAGGGAACGUUUCUUGUCUUCCAUGAUACACAUGGUAAUGCUGAACAUUCUUUCUCUGACUGUACUGUUGCUGUGUCGAGUCACACUGACUGGACCGCUGUCGUUUGAAGAUGCCCCUCAUACCGUAUUGUAUUUGCUGAAUAUUGUCCAUUGAUCUCUCAGAUUGGGGCCCUUGUUUUGCGACCCAGGAACUUCCCUACAGGCCGUAUAGUGCAUCCAGAAGCCAUGUUUGAGGUCUGCUCGGCUUGUUUAUGUACGGUUACACCCAGAGCUGAAUUUAACCCCGGCUUCCAUCUGUUGCAGCACCCAGGGCCCUGCACGGAGAUGAGACCGGUUUGGGUCGGUCUGUGCCGCUUGCUUACUACUAAGCACGACUUGCUCCUAUGUGUUAUUAUCGUCAGAGGCGUCUCCUCUGUGGCAAUAUUCUUUUUUAGCCAGUUUUUUUUUUUUUUUUUUUUAACCCUAUUUUCAUUGACCUUAAGGUUCAUUUAAGGUACUUUUUAGCUGGAUUUCAUGUCGAUUUUAUGGUAAAUAUGAAAUUAUUUAAAAGAAGACGAAAAACAAAUUUGCUCCUUUUCAUAGCUCAAUAGUCACUUAUACAAAGUACAUGUUAAAUAGAUAUGUUUUUAGCUGAGUCUUGAAUGUAGCCACAGAUGAGAUAUUAUGAAGUGUAAGGGGUAGUGAAUUCCAUAAUUUAGGAGCAUUAACACUAAAUGACCUUCCACCAAAUGACCAAGAAAUAGAGCAUUGCAAUAAUCCAGACGUGAUGUGAUCAAUGUAUACAUUUCCGCAUCAGCCAAAGUGAGAGAAGAUCAAAGACGUGCAAUAUUACGAAGAUGGAAAAAAGAGUUUUUAACAAGAGAAGAAAUAUGAGAGCCAAGAGUUGAUUAAGACUCCAAGGUUACGAAUAGAUGAAUAAGGCUUAACAUGAACUACAUUAAUAUCAAAGGACAGGUCCAUCCUUUUGACUGAGGCAGCAGAGCCAAUCACUAAUAUCUCAGUUUUUAUUAUUCAAUUUGAGGGAAUUCAGGGACAUACAAUGCUUGACGUCCCUGACAUGAGCGAGUCCCUGACAUGAUGCGAAGCUGGUGGUAAGAUAGAUUUUAAUGUCAUCAGCAUAGCAAUGGAAUUGAAGUUCAUGCCUUUGUAGGAUGUCACCAAGUGGAUAUAUAUAUAUAUAUAUAUAUAUAUAUAUAUAUAUACAGAAUAUAUAUGAUAAACAAUAGUGGGCCAAGAACUGAACCUUGAGGAACACCCUUUGUAAGUGAAGCAGUGGCUGAUCUAUUGUAUGUUGAUAUAGUACUUUCUGUCGUUGAUGUAAGAAAUGAACCAGGAACGAAUCAAGGAUGCCAAUAUCUGAAAACAGAGAGAUCAGUAUUUUAUAGCAGACUGUGUCAAAUAUGCCGCGUAGAUAAGGAAGCAUCAAGAUGUUUAUUAACCCAUGAAACGUAAAUACUAAAAAAGGAAAUAUUUAACAAAAAAUAAUAAAAAAGAGGAACGCAUUAUAAAGCAAUUUUCUAUCAGUAUUUUAUUGAAUUUUGUUUAUAGCCAGAUGUCAGGUCAAAUUUAUGCUUAAUAUACAAUUAUUGAAAUACUAAAUAAGAAAAAAAUUAACAAAGAAUCUUAAAAAGGAGGAAAACACAUUGUUAAAAAA